CAGACACUUCAACUGGCUCCAGAUAGACCAACAUUAAUGCUUCAAAUAUUGGAUUCUAUGCAAACUCUGUGACUUCCUGGUCAUUCAGCUAUAAAACCUUCCCAUCAGACUGUCAGAGGAGUUCACAGCACAUCUUUGUCAGCAUUAACCAUGUUCUCUGUAGCUCUGCUGCUGCUGUUGGCAGCUGGAUCAUGUGUGAAGUGUGAACAGCUGACACAGCCAGCCUCUGUGACUGUGCAGCCAGGUCAACGUCUGACCAUCACCUGUCAGGUCUCUUAUUCUGUGAGCAGCUACUACACAGCUUGGAUCAGACAGCCUGCAGGGAAAGGACUGGAGUGGAUGAGUAGCGACACAACUGUUAAAGAUUCACUCAAAAACAAGUUCAGCAUCUCCACAGACUCUUCCAGCAACACAGUGACUCUAAAUGGACAGAAUGUGCAGCCUGAAGACACUGCUGUGUAUUACUGUGCCAGAGACCCACAGUAACACAAACCAUCAGUAGACCUGAACAAAAACCUUCAGAGCCUGAACACUAACAUGAAGCCACCAGAGGAGGAGCCCUCAGACCACUGAUGA